rnacentral:rRNA from 1 species
AUUGAACGCUGGCGGCAGGCCUAACACAUGCAAGUCGAACGGUAACAGGAAACAGCUUGCUGUUUCGCUGACGAGUGGCGGACGGGUGAGUAAUGUCUGGGAAACUGCCUGAUGGAGGGGGAUAACUACUGGAAACGGUAGCUAAUACCGCAUAACGUCGCAAGACCAAAGAGGGGGACGUUCGGGCCUCUUGCCAUCGGAUGUGCCCAGAUGGGAUUAGCUAGUAGGUGGGGUAACGGCUUACCUAGGCGACGAUCCCUAGCUGGUCUGAGAGGAUGACCAGCCACACUGGAACUGAGACACGGUCCAGACUCCUACGGGGGGCAGCAGUGGGGAAUAUUGCACAAUGGGCGCAAGCCUGAUGCGGCCAUGUCGCGUGUAUGAAGAAGGCCUUCGGGUUGUAAAGUACUGUCAGCGGGGAGGAAGGGAGUAAAGUUAAUACCUUUGCUCAUUGACGUUACCCGCAGAAGAAGCACCGGCUAACUCCGUGCCAGCCGCCGCGGUAA